rnacentral:rRNA from 1 species
AGUGAACGCUGGCGGUAGGCCUAACACAUGCAAGUCGAACGGCAGCACAGGAGAGCUUGCUCUCUGGGUGGCGAGUGGCGGACGGGUGAGGAAUACACCGGAAUCUACUCUGUCGUGGGGGAUAACGUAGGGAAACUUACGCUAAUACCGCAUACGACCUACGGGUGAAAGCAGGGGACCUUCGGGCCUUGCGCGAUUGAAUGAGCCGAUGUCGGAUUAGCUAGUUGGCGGGGUAAAGGCCCACCAAGGCGACGAUCCGUAGCUGGUCUGGGAGGAUGAGCAGCCACACUGGAACUGAGACACGGUCCAGACUCCUACGGGAGGCAGCAGUGGGGAAUAUUGGACAAUGGGCGCAAGCCUGAUCCAGCCAUACCGCGUGGGUGAAGAAGGCCUUCGGGUUGUAAAGCCCUUUUGUUGGGAAAGAAAUCCAGCUGGCUAAUACCCGGUUGGGAUGACGGUACCCAAAGAAUAAGCACCGGCUAACUUCGUGCCAGCCGCCGCUGUAA